rnacentral:rRNA from 1 species
GACGAACCGUGCGAACGUUAUUCGGAAUCACUGGGCUUAAAGCGCGUGUAGGCGGGACGGCACGUCGGUCGCUGAAAUCCCCCGGCUUAACCGGGGAACGGGCGGCGAUACGACCGUCCUGGAGGGGCGUAGGGGGACCUGGAACUUCCGGUGGAGCGGUGAAAUGCGUUGAGAUCGGAAGGAACGCCCGUGGCGAAGGCGGCCCCCUGGGCCGUACCUGACGCUGAGGCGCGAAGGCUAGGGGGAGCGAACGGG